GGCACCGGAGAGGGUAUUGGCCGGGAGAAGUGAGUCGUAGACAAAAGGCGGGACUAGGGCGGUACCGCUCUCUCCCCGGCCCUUCUCCAACCCGUGAACUUGAGACCUGAAGACUACCAGUCCCGGCGUGCACUGCUUCCUCCGGGCGGUCCCGCAAUCCGAUCAGCCGGGCCCAACUUCCACCCUGGGUGGGCGCGCUGCACCCUGGGAUGAGUGGUCCCCCGGGGUGGGGUGGGAGGAAGGGGCGCCUGAGAUCCUGCUGACCCCGUUGCCCAGCAGCCAGCCCUCCCUCCGACUCCCCGGGGACCUGUCAGCUGUUUAUCCCUCUUCCUGCAAAUGCCAUUUCCCCGAGAGCUGGCAAAGUGAGGCUCACAAGUACCCAGGUCGGUGCUACACGCCUUAGGGAAUAGUACUGGAGUAGACCUCUGCCUUCAGGGAGAUUGCAAAACAGUAACAGCAAAAAUUAAUUGAGCCUUUGACGGCAAAGUGCUGAGGGUUUCACUUGCAUUCUCUCCUGCACGCUUCUCAACUGUCGUAGGUGUUCUAACAUGGAUGGAGCUAGAGGGUAUUAUGCUCAGUGAAAUAAGCCAGGCAGAGAAAGAAAAGUAUCAAAUGAUUUCACUCAUCUGUGGAGUAUAAGAACAAAGCAAAAACUGAAGGAGCAAAACAGCAGCAGACUCACAGAACCCAAGAAUGGACUAACAGUUACGAAAGGGAAAGGAACUGGGGAGGAUGGGUGGGAAGGGAGGGAUAAGGGGGGAAAAGGGGCAUUACGAUUAGCACACAUAAUGUAGUGGGGGAUGGGGGAACACGGGAAAGGCAGUAUAUACAGAGAAGACAAGCAGUGAUUCUAUAGCAUUUUACUACGCUGAUAACACAGUAACUGUAAUGGGGCAUGCAGGGGUGACUUGAUUAUAGGGGGAGUCUAGUAACCAUAAUGUUCAAGUAAUUGUACAUUAAUGAUAUCAAAAUUUUAAAAAUAAAUAAAUAAAUAAUAAA